UGAAUGGGUCCUGUGCAAUGCUGCGCUGUGAACCCUGUCAGGUCCUGACGGAAGCAGCAGUAAGCAGAUUGCAGUGUGUGCCGCAGGUCCGCCUGUUCUGAGC
rnacentral:SRP_RNA from 1 species